rnacentral:rRNA from 1 species
CCUGCGAGUCGAGAGGUUCGGCCCUCGGCGUACUGCUCAGUAACACGUGGAUACCCUGCCCUAGGGAAGGGGAUAACCCCGGGAAACUGGGGAUAAUACCCUAUAGGUUACAGAUGCUGGAAUGCCCUGUAACCCAAAGUUCCGGCGCCCUAGGAUGGAUCUGCGGCCGAUUAGGUAGUUGUUGGGGUAAUGGCCCAACAAGCCAGUAAUCGGUACGGGUUGUGGGAGCAAGAGCCCGGAGUUGGAUUCUGAGACACGAAUCCAGGCCCUACGGGGCGCAGCAGGCGCGAAAACUUUACAAUGCGGGCAACCGUGAUAAGGGAACCUCGAGUGCCUGUAAACGCAGGCUGUUCAGGUGUCUAAAACACACCUGGAGAAAGGGCCGGGCAAGACCGGUGCCAGCCGCCGCGGUAAUACCGGCGGCUCGAGUGGUGGCCACUUUUAUUGGGCUUAAAGCGUUCGUAGCUGGGUUGUUAAGUCUCUUGGGAAAUCUGGCGGCUUAACCGUCAGGCGUCUAAGGGAUACUGGCAAUCUUGGAACCGGGAGAGGUGAGGGGUACUUCGGGGGUAGGAGUGAAAUCCUGUAAUCCUCGAGGGACCACCUGUGGCGAAGGCGCCUCACCAGAACGGCUUCGACAGUGAGGGACGAAAGCUGGGGGAGCAAACCGGAUUAGAUACCCGGGUAGUCCCAGCCGUAAACGGUACGCGUUAGGUGUAUCGGUGACCACGAGUUACCGAGGUGCCGAAGGGAAACCGUGAAACGUGCCGCCUGGGAAGUACGGUCGCAAGGCUGAAACUUAAAGGAAUUGGCGGGGGAGCA